rnacentral:rRNA from 1 species
GGGUUGGAUGAAAGCCUAUAUUUUGUUUAUUUUAAUUCUUUAUGGGAAUGUUUUAUUUAUAUUUUCCAAUAGUUGGGUUUUUAUAAAAAUUGUUAAAGGGUUAGAAGACUAAGUUUGUGCCAGCAGUCGCGGUCAUACUCUAUUCUUUAAAUUUUGUUUCUUUAUAAGGUUGAUUUUUUAUUUUACCCUUAAGGGUGAAAUUUUAAGGUUUUAUUUUUAGAAGUCUAUAAAAGGUAACUGUAACUAAGAAUAGGAUUAGAUACCCUAGUAUUUUAGGGUUAUUAUUAAGUAGUAGAUAAUUUUUAUUAAACUUAAUUUUUCUGGCGGUUUAUUACCCAUUCACAGGAAUUUGUUAAUUUUAAAAGAUAACCCGCCUUUAUUAUAACCAAUCUAAAUUUUAUGUACGGCUGUUAGGCUUUAAUUUAAUUAUUUUUGCUUUAAGAUUUAAUCCCUUAAUUCAGGUCUAUGUGUAGAAGAUAAAUUGGUUUUUAAUGAGUUACUAUAAUAGGGGAAUUUUUUUAUAUAAAUAAUUUAAUUUGGAUGUGAAAGUAAAAUAGAUAUUAAAAUUUCUAUUUGAAGAAGGACCUAAUAAAAGUACAUAUCGCCCGUCACUCUUUUGAUAGAUAAGUCGUAACAAAGUAGGAGUACUGGAAAGUGCUUCUUGU